rnacentral:rRNA from 1 species
CACGUAGGGGGCAAGCGUUGUCCGGAUUUAUUGGGCGUAAAGAGCUCGUAGGCGGUUCCGUAAGUCGGAUGUGAAAACUCGGGGCUCAACCCCGAGACGCCAUCCGAUACUGCGGUGACUUGAGUCUGGUAGGGGAACACGGAAUUCCUGGUGUAGCGGUGAAAUUCGUAGAUAUUAGGAAGAACACCGGUGGCGAAGGCGGCCCACUGGCUCGAUACUGACGCUGAGGUGCGAAAGCGUGGGGAGCAAACAGG